GACUUACCUUCAUCAUCCACGUUGGUUGUAGCCUUGGCAGCCUCACCACAGCUUUGCUUUCCGCCUUCCUCUUCUACUUCUCUGGCAUUUUGCUGUCUUUCCUGAAAUCUGGCGUGAGCUCCUUGCCACACUUUCAGUUUCUCCUCAGCUGUGAGACCCCUGCCUUGUAAAGAAGCACCGUCUGAUGCACCCAAUCCAUCAUACCUCUCCACCCUGUAUGGGUACCGAAACUCAGAGGAUGCUUUGGUGUCAUCUGCUGCGUUCCCUAAAGCUGUUUUGGACUCCCCGUGAGGGUCUCCGAGCGAGGCUGUCUGAGUGUAGUCCUUGCAAGCUUGGGUCUGGAACACAAACUCCACCUGUGCAUCCGCUGGGGGGCUGUGGAUCUCCAACCUGACUUGCACCUCUACCUCCUCUUCCCCAUCGCCAUCACUGCUGCUCAAAGGGCCUGAUUGACAGGAAGGCAGAGAUGUGUGAUGUUUUCCAAUGGGGCUCAGCCUGAAGGGAACAUCCUGCUCCUUACCGCUUUGGUUUGGAGGAGGAAUCGUUGCUCCUGGAGUGUCGAUAGUGGUUUCUGUUUUAAUUUCCUCCUCCACCUUCUCUUCCUCCAUUGGUUGCUCAUAGAUAAAAAUGCCAGUACAUAUCCUGUACAGACGGAAACCAAAAUAUGAGCAUUCAAUGAUUUGACUUGUGUGAUAUGCACAUUGUAGAGGUAUGUACUGUGGAUUCGGUCACGUUGCUUCAUCCCUUGAUUACUUUGCAGUGCGUAGGAUAAUCCUUUAGAAUGAGAAUAAGCAACUGCUGCCUGCAACUGAGCCCCUUAACAUGUACUGUAUAUUCCAAGAUAUAUUAAAAUGAUCCAUAAAGGAG